rnacentral:tRNA from 1 species
AUUUUCUUAGUAUAUAAGUACAUUUGAUUUCCAAUCAAAAAGUCUAAUAAUUUAGAGAAAAUA